rnacentral:rRNA from 1 species
GUAGUUGGUGAGGUAACGGCUCACCAAGCCGACGAUCAGUAACUGGCGUGAGAGCGCGACCAGUCACACGGGCACUGAGACACGGGCCCGACUCCUACGGGAGGCAGCAGUAAGGAAUAUUGGUCAAUGGACGCAAGUCUGAACCAGCCAUGCCGCGUGGAGGAUGAAGGCCCUCUGGGUUGUAAACUUCUUUUAUUUGGGACGAAACACUUUCUUUCUAGAGAGCUUGACGGUACCAGAUGAAUAAGCACCGGCUAACUCCGUGCCAGCAGCCGCGGUAAUACGGAGGGUGCAAGCGUUAUCCGGAUUCACUGGGUUUAAAGGGUGCGUAGGCGGAUAUGUAAGUCCGUGGUGAAAUCUCCGAGCUUAACUCGGAAACUGCCAUGGAUACUAUAUAUCUUGAAUGUUGUGGAGGUUAGCGGAAUAGUUCAUGUAGCGGUGAAAUGCUUAGAUAUGACCUAGAACACCGAUUGCGAAGGCAGCUGGCUACACAACGAUUGACGCUGAGGCACGAAAGCGUGGGGAUCAAACAGGAUUAGAUACCCUGGUAGUCCACGCCCUAAACGAUGAUUACUCGACAUUUGCGAUAUACAGUAAGUGUCUGAGCGAAAGCAUUAAGUAAUCCACCUGG